AGAGUUUGAUCCUGGCUCAGGAUGAACGCUGACGGAAUGCUUAACACAUGCAAGUCAACCGGGACCUUUCUUCGGAGAGUAUAACGGUGGCGGACGGGUGAGUAACGCGUGAGAAACUUACCCCAUAGACAGGGAUAACCAUUUGAAAAGAUGGCUAAUACCGGAUAAGCCCACACUACGGCAUCGUAGAGAGGGAAAAGAUUGCGCUAUGGGAGAGUCUCGCGUCCUAUUAGCUAGUUGGUGAGGUAAUGGCUCACCAAGGCGACGAUAGGUAGCCGGCCUGAGAGGGUGAACGGCCACAAGGGAACUGAGACACGGUCCUUACUCCUACGGGAGGCAGCAGUGGGGAAUAUUGGACAAUGGGGGAAACCCUGAUCCAGCAAUUCCGCGUGUAUGAUGAAGGCUUUCGGGUUGUAAAGUACUUUCAAUGGGGAGGAAAAAAUGACGGUACCCAUAGAAGAAGCACCGGCUAAUUACGUGCCAGCAGCCGCGGUAAGACGUAAGGUGCAAGCGUUAUCCGGAAUUACUGGGCGUAAAGGGCGUCUAGGCGGCAAUGCAAGUCAGAGGUGAAAAGUCUGGGCUCAACCGAGGCCUUGCCUUUGAAACUGCAUAGCUAGAGUACGGGAGAGGAGGGCGGAACUACAAGUGUAGCGGUGAAAUGCGUAGAUAUUUGUAGGAAUGCCAAUGUCGAAGGAAGCUCUCUGGACCGAUACUGACGCUAAAGCGCGAAAGCUAGGGGAGCAAACAGGAUUAGAUACCCUGGUAGUCCUAGCUGUAAACGAUGGAUACUGGGUGUGGGUCCGUGAAGGAUCUGUGCCGGAGCAAACGCGAUAAGUAUCCCGCCUGGGGAGUACGGUCGCAAGACUAAAACUCAAAGGAAUUGACGGGGACCCGCACAAGCGGUGGAGCAUGUGGUUUAAUUCGACGCAACGCGAGGAACCUUACCAGGUCUUGACAUCCUAAGAAUCAUCCAGAGAUGGAAGAGUGCCCUUCGGGGAACUUAGAGACAGGUGGUGCAUGGCUGUCGUCAGCUCGUGCCGUGAGGUGUUGGGUUAAGUCCCGCAACGAGCGCAACCCUUAUCGUUAGUUACCAUCAUUAAGUUGGGGACUCUAGCGAGACUGCCUGCGACGAGCAGGAGGAAGGUGGGGAUGACGUCAAGUCAUCAUGCCCCUUAUGACCUGGGCUACACACGUGCUACAAUGGGCGGCACAAAGAGAUGCGAAAGGGUGACCUGGAGCGAAACUCAUAAAACCGUUCUUAGUUCGGAUUGAAGUCUGCAACUCGACUUCAUGAAGUUGGAAUCGCUAGUAAUCGCAAAUCAGCAAUGUUGCGGUGAAUACGUUCUCGGGUCUUGUACACACCGCCCGUCACACCACGAGAGUUCUUUGCACCUGAAGUUACUGGCCUAACCCGAAAGGGGAGGAGGUACCGAAGGUGUGGGGGGUAAUUGGGGUGAAGUCGAAACAAGGUA
rnacentral:rRNA from 1 species